rnacentral:lncRNA from 1 species
CGGUUGAAAACAAAACUUUACGACAAAAGAGAUGAUUUCAGCUUUCCAAUUGUGAACUUUACAUUUCUUAGUAGCAACAUUCCAGCAGCACCUGCAUACGGUGAGAGCAGGAUCUGCUUACCCUUCCGGAGCACCUGAGAUCACCUCUAGUUUUUGGUGGGGUUCGUGUUGUUUAUUCUUUAGUUUUCUAUGUUGUGUCAUGUGUACUAUUGUUUUACUGUUUGUCUUUUUCAUUUUUAGCCAUGGCGUUGUCAGUUAGUUUUAGAUUUAUGAGAUUGACUGUCCCUUUGGUAUCUUUCGUCCCUCUUUUCUUUACAUGGGGUUCUAAUACUCUGCCAUCUGCUGUGUUUUCUGGAAAUUUACAAGAUACGCGAAGAAAUAGGUUCCACGUGCACACAGCAACUACUUUGAAUGAUUCACUCAUGUUCCUGUACAGAUAAUAAUUUCCCGGUACAAUUGUCAGUUUGAUCACUGGCUUUGGUCAGUAAGCACCGUUAUCUUUAGAUAAACUUGGUAUAUAUCUUAUUAUGCUGUUGGACGAAUAACUUUCAGAGUUUAGUGUUGAAAUGUAUUGAGAACUCAUAAUGAAGUUUAAUAAUGAUAUUUAUAACGAUGAAACAAAUAGUUUUAAAGAGGAGGAAGAUUUCAGGCCAUUAAGUGCUGUAACAUAUAAGAACCGUUUGGAAAAGUUUGUCCGUUUCCACUGUUAAAGUGGAAAAGAUGUUAAACAAGGAGCUGGAAUCUAGUGAUUUAAUAAGACUUUGUCAUAUUGGCAAAUAGAGUAGGAGGCAAGAAAAAACGAGAAAAACAGGGAGUGAUGAUUGCUCACGAUAGAGACAAUAUUCGUUAAAUCAGUAAAUGUCAAAAAACCGUUUCAUCCUUCACAUGUAGAUUCUACACAAUUAAAAAUGUUACCCUUCCUUCAUCAUUAAGAGUUUCUGAAUAUUCAUUAUUUAACUUUCAAAUAGAG